rnacentral:lncRNA from 1 species
UAAAAUGAGAGUUUCUAUUGGACAAAUUCAGGUAGGUCCCUCCCUGUUUCGUUCCAUUACCUUCAGUUUAAGAAACGUUUUGCAACAAAAUUGACGUGAUGAAUAUGCCCCUGCUAUCAGUUUAGAGGGCGCCGCAGCAGACAGACACACAAGGCAAAGGGAGGUUGAUUGAAAGAAGAGAAAAAAUGUAUAGAAAAAAGUAGUUUAUACCCAGCUGUAACACUGUAAGAUAAACGGGAAAAUAGCUAUGUUUCUUUAGUCGUAGAGUUUGAACAACCGGUUUACAUCAACUCCACGGUACUGUAGUAGGUAACGUUAGCCAAGAAUAUACGUUUCUUGUUGAGUUGUUCAUGGGACAUAGCUACUGCGACACGGUCUUCUUGCUAGGUGUUGUCUACAAUGAAUCUCAACGUCAGCAUGGCCAGUCUAUGAAACCAGUCCCUGAAAUAGUUUUCCUUCAUUCGUUAGAGCUGCUGACUCUCCCGGUCCCACCACCACUCCCAGCUCCACCUUACAACACUCUAAAUACUCCACUCCCUGCCCUCUUAAAGAUGGAGCAGCAACAUAUCCGCUGUGUGACCUGCCUGAGUCAGAGGUGCAUGACCAGGCCAGAACCCGGUAUCUCCUGUCACCUGCCCCCUAGUCUGUGGGGCCAUUUUCCACUCCUACAAAGGGCCCGAGCACCUCCUCCUCUGUCCCCUGGAGAGAGUGCCCUGCCUGAACAGGGGUUUUGGCUUCCCUGACACACUAGUGCAGACCCGGAUGCCUGCACACCAUGGAGUGGAACAGGUGAGCUAUCAGCUGCCUGGAUUACACAUCAUACGAGAGCUUGAGCUGGGGGGUGGAGGAGACAGAGCAGCUGGACAUGGCGCUGGCCCUGCAGGACAAGUACACGCUGGUCAAGUCCCUCAAGGUGGUCCCAACGGCGCCCACGGUCGAGAGAGAGCCACCUGUUUUCACCGUAGAGAGCGCGAGUGAGAAGGACACUGCGUUGACAACGCAUUCACCACCACUAUUGACGACACAGUCACCACCACUAUUGACGACACAGUCACCACCACUAUUGACGACACAGUCACCACCACUAUUGACGACACAGUCACCACCACUAUUGACGACACAGUCACCACCACUAUUGACGACACAGUCAUCACCAACAUUGACGUCACAGUCACCGCCACUGAGCUCAGCGAAGGAUAAAAUUGCUAACGGAAUAAAUGGUUUGAACGAGGAGUGGUAUAGCAAGCUGUACAUGGUGGAGACGGCGCGGAGCCUUGCCGCAGCGUUGGACGUUCUCAGCACAGAGCAAUGCAUCAAGAUCAACAGCAUUGACUGGAACGAUGAGCUGCUGCUUCAUAACAGGCUGGAGAUUUGGAUGUGAAGGAGUGCUACGGUCAGCUUAUCAGCUGCACCAACUCCACCGGGCGACGGUCCAGCUGAGGAGGAGCCUGGUCACAGCACAGGGCGACCUCAGAAACACGGUUAAAUAUACAGACCCAAUCAACGGAGCCCCCACUCACCCGCAAGCAGAGCUUACGUCAGCUCCCACCAAUCGGAAGCUGCAGACUUGACGAACGUUGAGAUGAAAGAUGCUGAGGCAGGGUCAUCAGUUGGAGAGCUUAGAGUGGUCAGCGGAACUGACAGUGAGGUUGCUAUGGAGGUCUUUGCCGAUGGCGAGAUGUGGAUGGAGCUUUCAGGUGUGACCUCGAGGAGUGUUGAGGGGCUGAAUGAACAAAGCUUAUGUAAUGGUUGUUUGAGUGGGAAAGGCUCCCAGAAGAGACCAGGGGAGCAGGCCUUAGGUUCAGACUCAGUAGAUCAGCAUCAACCUGGAACCAGUUGGUCUUCCAGUGAAGCAGUUUGCCCAAUCAAGGUGCAAGAUGACUUGAAUCCUCCACCUGUACCUCAAGGGCCCUCUGGUUCUGUCACAGCUACAGCAUCCCCAAUCUCACCCAGCAACGCAACUAGCACCACCCAUGCAGAUCCACCAGGGUAUGGCACACAGGGCCAGUCACGUGGUCCUAGAGGACAGGGAACUGGAGAGGAAGUUCCAGAACCACCUGUUGCUCAGAGGCUCGGGCCAGUUUGCUCUGUCCAACGGACGGAGAGUCCGGGUUAGGUUUAGACCCAAAAUGGAGGACAAGACAGUGGAUACGUCAGACCUGGAGCAGGAGGACGACUCCAUGGGCCUGGGGAAGAUCGACCUGAUCACUGCAGCUGCCCUCCUCUGCCUGGAGGAGUCCCGCAAGUGCCUCAGGAUCUCCGACACUGCCAAUGUGGACGGCUUCCACGUCAACUUCGGCACACAGACCUUCACCUCCCCUGCCCCCAUCUUGGUGACCAGCACGAGGGUUGGCGUCGUCAGCUGCCUGUGACCAUGCGCCACAACUCUCAUAUCCCAGCCCCUUCCGCACCCUCAGCCUGGACCUGGUUCUAGAGGAAGUUCCACAGAUCCGGAACAUCCCAUGUAAUCGGCUCCAGCAAAUGUUUUCCUUCGAUUGUGGCCAGCUGUUCCGCAGGGACGAUUACUCCUCCCACUUCAAGAACCUCCACAAGGACAUGCACACAGGCCUCAGCAACUAGAUGGAAUACCACUGUCCCCUGGCCUACUACGGCUGCACCUACUCCCAGCGCAGGUUCUCCCCCUCAUACCAGGGGUCAAAGGUCAUCCAUAAUCAGAACUUUAGGUCAUUCGGGGUGAAGCCCAGCCCCAUUGAGGGGGGGGACGGGACCGUUGGGGAGUCUAGUGGGCUUCCCUUUGAGGUGGGCUUCCCUUUUAGUGGGCUUCCCUUUGAGGUGCUGCAGCAUGUGGCCUGCUUCCUGGAUGGCUUCAGCCUGUCCCAGCUGUCCAUGUUGUCGUGGACCAUGAGGUGUGGAGAUUCAGCACUGCCUUUAGCCCCGUUAAUGAGUGGCGGUUCGCCGAAGUCUCCAGUAUGUCUGACCAGCUGAGGAAGUGCCACUACAACACAGUUGAGCACAAGAUGGAGGCCGUUCCACUGCCGUCCAUGUGCACAGCCGGAGACAUAUCCCUCCUCUCUGUCUUGAAACUCCAGGAGCAACACAUGACCUUACCAGUACCUAACCUCUGUUAGCUACACUGUCUAAUUUAAUUCAGGUUUUGAUGUUACAUUUUUUUUUUAUUGGAAAAGACUGUCCCGUGUUAUAUUGAGGUUGAAGGGUAAGAGCCUUUAAUUUAUGACCUUCUUGACACACAGUUCCAGUAAAAUUGUACCUUUAUUUAACUAGGCAAGUCAGUUAAGAACAAAUUCUUAUUUUCAAGUGGGUUAACUGCCUUGUUCAGGGGCAGAACGACAGAUUUUUACCAUGUCAGCUUGGGGAUUCGAGCUUGCAACCUUUCGGUUACUAGUUUAACGCUCUAACCACUAGGCUACCUGCCGUGUCAAUCAAAGGUAGUGUUAAACAAUUUACCUCGCAUGGUUUGGUGUUUAAAUCGUGCCUCUAUUUUGGUAACGUGAUUGUCUUGGAGAGAGAAACAUGCAAUAGUUGCAGUUUUAUUUAGUACUUUUCUGUGAGAUACUGACCAUACAGAGAAAGAAAUACAUAUUUUCAGUUUGUCUUGUUUUUUUACUCAUAGCCAUGGGAUGUGCAAGUUGUUUGCCAUAUCACACAAUUUUUUUCACGAGUUAUGCUAGCACUUUAAUGAAUUUUGCACUCUUAAACACAUUUUCAAUUUACUGAAAUCGUCCUCCAUGAAAUGAAUCUGAAGGACAAGUCUGCUCUCUGUGUAGGUUGGACCAGAAAGGGACCACAACACACAAACUAAAACAAAGGGAGAGAAGUCACACAAGGUCCCAAUGGACAUUUCCCAACAAUGCAUGUGACUCCGUUGCCAUUUAAUAAACAUAGUCUUUAAUAGCACCUUUCAUGAUUUUCC